GCCGAGAUAGUCUAGCGGUAGGGCGCAAGCCUGGAAAGCUUGUGGGGAAUCAUCCCCUCGGGAGUUCAAAUCUCCCUCUCGGCG
rnacentral:tRNA from 1 species